AGCGAACGCUAGCGGCGGGCCUAACACAUGCAAGUCGAGCGCAUACCUUCGGGUAUGAGCGGCGGACGGGUGAGUAACACGUAGGUAAUCUACCCUUUGGUGGGGAAUAACCCGGGGAAACUCGGGCUAAUGCCGCACGAGGUCUACGGAUCAAAGCCUUCGGGCGCCAGAGGAUGAGCCUGCGUUGCAUUACCUAGUUGGCGGGGUAACGGCCCACCAAGGGGACGAUGCAUAGCUGGUCUGAGAGGAUGAUCAGCCACACUGGGACUGAGACACGGCCCAGACUCCUACGGGAGGCAGCAGUGGGGAAUAUUGCGCAAUGGGGGAAACCCUGACGCAGCUACGCCGCGUGGGUGAUGAAGG
rnacentral:rRNA from 1 species